rnacentral:lncRNA from 1 species
UAUAUAUAUGUAUAUCGGUACAAAUGGCCCUUAUUCUUUUUGUCUGGUUUUAUCAAAGCAUUUUUUAACAUCUGGGAAUUGUAGGUGAGACAAUUUUAGUUUAAGUCAGUGACUGGAAGGCUUGAAUGUAUUCAGGGUGUUUGUGGGAUCUUAAAAAGUAAUAAAAUGUCUUAAAUUUGGACUCUUAAAUUCUUCGUUUCUUAGAUACACUCACUGCAUCAGUCACUUAGAGACCUGCGGAGUGAUCAACUUCGAAUGGGUGAUGACAUUGAUAGAGAAAUCAGCAAAAGAAACAGGACUGACAUAGAAACUAAGAGGAUAUUGGAGGAUCUUGCAGGCCACGUUCGGGCAUCAAAAAGUGAAGAGCUUGUCUCAUUACGGGUAGAGAAACGUCUACAGGAGAUCGAGGAUGAAAUGCACUCAAGGGAGCAGGUGGCUUCUGAAAGACAUCACAUAGAGAAACCAGAUGGCAUGUCUCAACUACAGAAGAUGGAUGACAUGCGUUCGCAGCUUCUCAGGAUAGAGAAAGACCAUGUACAAUUGCAAAGGGAGAUGUCUUUACUGCUGUCUCAGCAAAGGAGCGCAAGGAGACAACAGCAAGGAGGUGUCACAGGCGUUGACAGUGAGCUGGAGAGAGGGUUGUAUGUCUCUAGUGAGGUAGAAGAGCUGAAGAAAAGCAUUGAACAAAGAGAGAAAGAGAAAGCUCAGCUUGCUUUCCAGGUUGAGGUCCUUUCUUCAGAUUUGGAGCAGCAUCAGUUGCAGAAGUUGAGCCAACUAAAGGAGGUCCAGUCUCUUUUAAAGAACAAUAGUUUGGAGUGUUCACAUCUAAAGGCCCAGCUUAUUGAAAGUGAGACAAGGAGAGAGGAGCUGCGGUCAAAGGCACAGGAAGCAAUCCGACAGUGGAAGACUAAGUGUAAGAAACUGGGACGAGAGGUUCAGGAACUGAAGAAUGAGAGCAGAAAUGGCACCGAUAAAAACAAAUGGGUAAGGCUUUACAAACCUCCAUGGCCAGUGAAUAAACAAACAAGAUUAUUAUUGAUAAGCUGUGUUGUAAGUGUUUCUAAACCAUAUUGGCCUGGGAGAAGCAAAGACCAGAAUUAUGUAAUGGUUGCCCAGUCUGCCAUUGUUUUUGUUCAUCAUAAUAAUGUCAGAUAAUUUUUGAAAAUUCUAGAGAGCUUAGUGACA